rnacentral:lncRNA from 1 species
AUCACUCCAUGAAACAAAAAAGGUCGGGGGCGCACUUCUGGAUUAAACAAAAAUCUGCUUUGUAUAUAGGGUGUCCACUACUAAUAUAUCACUAUUUUACCGAUCUUUACGUUGCUGAUGACCCCUCUCGCUAUAGCAUAGGUCCGUCUUUGCCUGCAGAUACAAUAAGAAGAAAUGAAGAGAUUUAUCAGGUGAAAAAAUAUUGUGUAGGGAAAAAGGAGAUUUGAAGACAAAAAAAGGCAUAGUUCUUCACUUAGUAUGCUGAUUGAGGGAUAACUAACUGCAAUUAUUUUCAUAAAAUGAAGAAACUAUUGUGGUCUAUAAUGCAACUAAUAGUCUCAUAUAUCUAAGGCAACAAAUAAAUUUACUAAAAAGAUGCUUAUAUGCAGUGAAUAAGUUUUUUCUUUCUCCUUUUCCUAAUAGGGAGCGCUUCCCCUUUUUAAUGGGCUCUACGUUGCGCGAAUUCAGAUUAGUCAGGUUAUUGAGUUCCGGAUAUUGAAUGGUUAAACAAAAAAAAAAAGAUUCUAAUGCUAAAUUAGAGAAAUGUGAAGAAGUAAGAAUAUGUACUGACAGAAAGAGAAUUGCAGAACAACUUAUUUAGAGAGCUCUGCAGUUGACGUGGACUCAUGAAUGAAGGAGGAGAAGAAUGGAGAAUUG